rnacentral:lncRNA from 1 species
AAGAGCACCCAGCAUAACUGUGGGAGAAUAGUAAGCAUUGGACACAAAAUGGUUUAGGCAAAUAAUGAUGAACAAAAAUGGUCAGUCUGUGUUCCUGCUGACCCAGCACAGUGGGGACGCUGUGUAGGACAUGACCUUUGGGGGAAAGGACACAAGAACUCAGCGUGGGGGAUCCAGAAAAGAAGUCGCACGUAUUGAAGCCAGUAACGCCAAGCCAGUGAAUUCUCCUUGACGAGAAAGACCCACUUACUCUGCAGAAGAGAUAUAUGACAGCUGACAAUCCCUGGAGGAGAAUCUUUCUACUAAAUUGGUAAGGGAUGCUAAGCAAAUGAUGUGGACUCAGGAAACAACGCAUUUCAUGAUAUACGGUUGCCUCUCAAGGUGAAUUCGAGACCCCUCUUGAAUUACAAAGAGGCAGGACCUUGCUCUGUCACCCAGGCUGUAGUGCAAUGGUGUGAUCUCAGCUUACUGCAGCCUCAACCUCCUGGGCUCAAGUGAUCCUACCACAGCUUCCUGAGUAGCUGGGACUACAGGCAUCUAUUCAACGAAGACGAAUCCUGGAAUGGGGAUGGAAAUGAUGGCUCAUGUCUUAGCAAACUACCAGUACGUCUACUAGAACCGGAACUGAUCCGAGAGGACAGGGAAGUCAGUGUGGGCGGCUCUAAGGAGCCUCCCUCUCUACAGCUGCGGCUCAGAGGAUUACGGCGCUUCAUCCACAAGGCAACAUUGCACAAGUAGCUUUUGAACAAAAGUCAUGGAUACUAUUAAUGAUAUGGUAAUCCUUAAUCGAGCUACCUCCCAGUAGUGAUUAUACUGACAUGGGAAGAAUAUCUAAGUCGUGGAGGCAGCCCACAACAACACUGUGUCAUUGUUCACCCCGGGCUCGACCAGGACUAACUUUUACCAGCAUCUCUAACGUCACCUUUCCCCUGAUGCCUCCCCACAACCCCUGGCCCCAGCUCCCAUUCCCGCCCCAUCAUAGCAAAAAAGUAGCAAAGAAAACCCUGAUCCUAAAUCUUUUUCUGGAUUUUUUUUUGCAAGUUCCCACACACAUUUAGUGUCGUCUCAAAAUUCACGCUGUCAACUGUCUCUAGGAAUCAUUUCCAUCUGAGAACAGACCACACAAAGGUUUAGUGCAACUAGGGACUAAACACCAGUCAUCUCCAGGACUUGACUUCAUCAUUUGCCUGUUCACCAUUGUAUCCCUAGAAUCUGUAACAACAACCAGAAGGUACUCAAUAAAUAUUUAAUCAAUGAACAAA